rnacentral:lncRNA from 1 species
CCUGUCCUAUACUACCGUAAAAGAUAUAUUUUUUCUUUGGGCCUUAGGCCCAAUUUUUCACCUGUCCUAGGCUUCUAACAAAAUAUAGAAUAGAGACUAAAUGGGCUUAGGCCCAAUAGAUAACAAAAUACAAUUUUGGAAUUAAAGGUGGGCCUUUGGCCCAAUUUUUUCAAUUCUCUAAUCUGCUCCAAUAUUUUUUCGACUCCGGGACCUGUACGUCGACUUUCAAUGGCCGGUUGACUCGAUGAAGG